UGCGUAGGUGGGCCUGUAAGUCAGUGGUGAAAUCCCCGAGCUUAACUUGGGAACUGCCGUUGAUACUAUAGGUCUUGAAUCUCGAGGAGGUAGGCGGAAUAUGUCAUGUAGCGGUGAAAUGCUUAGAUAUGACGUAGAACACCAAUUGCGUAGGCAGCUUACUACACGAGCAUUGACACUGAGGCACGAAAGCGUGGGGAGCAAACA
rnacentral:rRNA from 1 species